rnacentral:rRNA from 1 species
ACGCACGCUGGCGGCGUGCUUAACACAUGCAAGUCGAACGGAAAGGCCCUGCUUUUGUGGGGUGCUCGAGUGGCGAACGGGUGAGUAACACGUGAGUAACCUGCCCUUGACUUUGGGAUAACUUCAGGAAACUGGGGCUAAUACCGGAUAGGAGCUCCUGCUGCAUGGUGGGGGUUGGAAAGUUUCGGCGGUUGGGGAUGGACUCGCGGCUUAUCAGCUUGUUGGUGGGGUAGUGGCUUACCAAGGCUUUGACGGGUAGCCGGCCUGAGAGGGUGACCGGCCACAUUGGGACUGAGAUACGGCCCAGACUCCUACGGGAGGCAGCAGUGGGGAAUAUUGCACAAUGGGCGGAAGCCUGAUGCAGCAACGCCGCGUGCGGGAUGACGACCUUCGGGUUGUAAACCGCUUUCGCCUGUGACGAAGCGUGAGUGACGGUAAUGGGUAAAGAAGCACCGGCUAACUACGUG